rnacentral:piRNA from 1 species
UNGCAAAGUAACAAGAGGAGGGGUCUGC